rnacentral:pre_miRNA from 1 species
CUGAUACUCCCUCCGUCCCAAAAUUCUUGUCUUAAAUUUGUCUAGAUACAGAUGUACCUAAUACUAAAACGUGACUUGAUACAUCCGUAUUUAGACAAAUCUAAGACAAGAAUUUUUGGACGGGGGGAGUAUUUC